GGGGAACGUGCCCUUCGGUUCGGAAUAACUCAGGGAAACUUGAGCUAAUACCGGAUACGCCCUUUUGGGGAAAGGUUUACUGCCGAAGGAUCGGCCCGCGUCUGAUUAGCUAGUUGGUGGGGUAACGGCCUACCAAGGCGACGAUCAGUAGCUGGUCUGAGAGGAUGAUCAGCCACACUGGGACUGAGACACGGCCCACACUCCUACGGGAGGCAGCAGUGGGGAAUAUUGGACAAUGGGCGCAAGCCUGAUCCAGCCAUGCCGCGUGAGUGAUGAAGGCCUUAGGGUUGUAAAGCUCUUUUGUCCGGGACGAUAAUGACGGUACCGGAAGAAUAAGCCCCGGCUAACUUCGUGCCAGCAGCCGCGGUAAUACCAAGGGGGCUAGCGUUGCUCGGAAUCACUGGGCGUAAAGGGCGCGUAGGCAGCUUUUUAAGUCGGGGGUGAAAGCCUGUGGCUCAACCACAGAAUUGCCUUCGAUACUGGAAAGCUUGAGACCGGAAGAGGACAGCGGAACUGCGAGUGUAGAGGUGAAAUUCGUAGAUGUUCGCAAGAACACCAGUGGCGAAGGCGGCUGUCUGGUCUGCUUCUGACGCUGAGGCGCGAACGCGUGGGGAGCAAACAGGAUUAGAUACGCCUGGUAGUCUCACGCCGUAACGAUGAAUGCCAGCCGUUGGUCUGCUUGCUGGUCAGUCGGCGCCGCUUACGCAUUUAAGCAUUCCGCCUGGGGAGUACGGUCGCAAGAUUAAACUCACAGGAAUUGACGGCGCCCGCACAGCGGUGCAGCAUGUGGUUUAAUUCGAAGCAUCGCGCAGA
rnacentral:rRNA from 1 species